CCUACGGGGUGCAGCAGUGGGGAAUAUUGGGCAAUGGGCGCAAGCCUGACCCAGCAACGCCGCGUGAAGGAAGAAGGCUUUCGGGUUGUACACUCCUUUUAUUAGGGACGAAUCAAGUGACGGUACCCGAUGAAUAAGCCACGCCUAACUACGUGCCACCAGACGCGGUAAUCCGUCGGGAGCAAGCGUUCUCCGGAUGUACUCGGGGUAAAGCGCUUGUAGGGGGGUGUGCAAGUCAGAUGUGAAAUGUAUGUGCGCAACCCCUGGCCUGCAGGUGAAACUGUACUUCUUGAGUGCUGGAGAGGCAGGAGGAAUGCGGGGUGUAGCGGUGAAAUGCGUAGAUAUAGGGAGGAACA
rnacentral:rRNA from 1 species